GUAACUGCUGUGGCGCUGCCACUAUUUUCUUGAUUUCCUCAUCAACAUUAGACAUUUGAGUGAAAGACAUUACAUUUAGCAUAUAUUGUCACAGGUAACAACCUAACCAUUGCCAAGUGUUGUGCUAAUGCUGGGAACAGGCAAAUUGUAUCUUUAUUGUUAGUUGUUGCAGAGGCUCAGACGUCCAUGGUGUACAGUAGGCGGGACACACAGAUCCA